UACGGAGGGUGCAAGCGUUAUCCGGAUUCACUGGGUUUAAAGGGUGCGUAGGUGGGCAGGUAAGUCAGUGGUGAAAUCUCCGGGCUUAGCUCGGAAACUGCCAUUGAUACUAUCUGUCUUGAAUACCGUGGAGGUCAGCGGAAUAUGUCAUGUAGCGGUGAAAUGCUUAGAUAUGACAUAGAACACCAAUUGCGAAGGCAGCUGGCUACACGAAUAUUGACACUGAUGCACGAAAGCGUGGGGAUCAAACAGG
rnacentral:rRNA from 1 species